rnacentral:rRNA from 1 species
AUUGAACGCUGGCGGCAGGCCUAACACAUGCAAGUCGAACGAGUGGCGGACGGGUGAGUAAUGUCUGGGAAACUGCCCGAUGUAGGGGGAUAACUACUGGAAACGGUAGCUAAUACCGCAUCCCAUCGGAUGUGCCCCGAUGGGAUUAGCUCGUAGGUGGGGUAACGGCUCACCUAGGCGACGAUCCCUAGCUGGUCUGAUAGGAUGACCCGACAAAAUGGGAAGUAUACCAGGGCCCGACGUCGAAGGGAGGGAGGAGUGGGGAAUAUUGGGAAAUGGGCGGAAGCCCGAAUGAGCAAUGCCGCGUGUAUUAAGAAGGGCUGUGGGUUGGAAAGUUAUUUUCGGGAAGAAGAGGUAACCGAAGAAGAAGGAACGGCUAAAUACGUGGCAGCAGCCGCGGUAAUUC